UGAGAUACGGCUUUGUUUUUUCCAAGCCAAGAAACAGCUGGGAUUCUAGUCCCAAUGGAAGGAACGAGCUAAGAAAAAACAGAGCUUCUUUUUGUUAAUUGAAGAAGGGCGUAGAUUCUUUUGUGUCCGUUUUUCCAAGCUGUUUGCAUGAAAGUUGUGUGGUUGAAUGUGACUGGUAGGAUAAAUUGACUAAAUAGCAGUUCUAGCAUUUAUCCACGGCAAUAACACAGGCUAGUAAUUUGUUGAAAGGUCAAUUUAAACCUGCAUUGAGGAUCCUCAAAGAAAGAAAAA